rnacentral:rRNA from 1 species
UCCGUAGGUGAACCUGCGGAGGAUCAUUACCGAGUGAGGGCCCUCUGGGUCCACCUCCCACCCGUGUUUAUCGUACCUUGUUGCUUCGGCGGGCCCGCCGUAAGGCCGCCGGGGGGCAUCUGCCCUCUGGCCCGCGCCCGCCGAAGACACCAUUGAACGCUGUCUGAAGAUUGCAGUCUGAGCAAUUAGUUAAAUAACUUAAAACUUUCAACAACGGAUCUCUUGGUUCCGGCAUCGAUGAAGAACGCAGCGAAAUGCGAUACGUAAUGUGAAUUGCAGAAUUCAGUGAAUCAUCGAGUCUUUGAACGCACAUUGCGCCCCCUGGUAUUCCGGGGGGCAUGCCUGUCCGAGCGUCAUUGCUGCCCUCAAGCACGGCUUGUGUGUUGGGCUCCGUCCUCCUCCCGGGGGACGGGCCCGAAAGGCAGCGGCGGCACCGCGUCCGGUCCUCGAGCGUAUGGGGCUUCGUCACCCGCUCUGUAGGCCCGGCCGGCGCUUGCCGACACAUCAAUCUUUUUUCCAGGUUGACCUCGGAUCAGGUAGGGAUACCCGCUGAACUUAAGCAUAUCAAUAAGCGGAGGA